CAUUAAGAAGCUGUAGGUUAGCAACAGCCUUUUAAUCUGUAGAUAGGUGAUUCCAACCACCCUUAAUGA
rnacentral:tRNA from 1 species